AUUGAACGCUGGCGGCAGGCCUAACACAUGCAAGUCGAGCGGCAGCGGGAAAGUAGCUUGCUACUUUUGCCGGCGAGCGGCGGACGGGUGAGUAAUGCCUGGGAAAUUGCCCAGUCGAGGGGGAUAACAGUUGGAAACGACUGCUAAUACCGCAUACGCCCUACGGGGGAAAGCAGGGGACCUUCGGUCCUUGCGCGACUGGAUAUGCCCAGGGGGGAUUAGCUAGUUGGUGAGGUAAUGGCUCACCAAGGCGACGAUCCCUAGCUGGUCUGAGAGGAUGAUCAGCCACACUGGAACUGAGACACGGUCCAGACUCCUACGGGAGGCAGCAGUGGGGAAUAUUGCACAAUGGGGGAAACCCUGAUGCAGCCAUGCCGCGUGUGUGAAGAAGGCCUUCGGGUUGUAAAGCACUUUCAGCGAGGAGGAAAGGUUGAUGCCUAAUACGUAUCAACUGUGACGUUACUCGCAGAAGAAGCACCGGCUAACUCCGUGCCAGCCGCCGCCGUAA
rnacentral:rRNA from 1 species